GGGGCGGUAGCUCAGUCGGUUAGAGCCGUGGACUCAUAAUCCAUUAUUUGGGGUACACCCAAGCGCGGCG
rnacentral:tRNA from 1 species